AGCAAAAGGGUAGUUGAAAUGGUGUGGAUUUUUAUUCCAUUUACAGAAAUGGUCUCGUGGCCCAUUAACCGACAAAGUGUCGUUGCUAUUCGUUGUUAAUGCAUGAUAAAGAAACCCGAAUUCUAUACUUCUCAUUUGGAAAUGGCAAUGGAAAGUUAGCUGCAGUUACCCUAGUAAUCUCGAUAAUGGGGAUUCUCGGCGUCUCGACUCUGUUAAUCUCAGUGAUCAAUUGAAUUCUUUGUAUCCAGCUGAAAAGAUAUCUUCAUACUCCACUAAACUAAACAUUCCAUUUCAAAAUAAGAUGAUUACCAUUUCUACCGGCACAUUUUCAUUUUUUUUCUGUAGAAAGAGUAAUCUGUUUAAUAAGUUAUGCCGGCGUAUACACAGUAAAUGGAGAAAAAAGCUUGGAGGCGAAAAUAAAACGGGUUUGAGUGUCACAGGGAGAAUCGAGUAGAAACUCACUAGGAACAAAACGUCAAUUAAGACCUUUCUGACAUUGUUGCAGAACAUGAAAGGCGCCGACAACAUUCAUAGGAUUGUGUGCAAAGGUUAACAAGGUCGCUAUGCAUUUGUCCUUCCACUAACAUGAUGUUGGAUGCGGGGUUGGAGACACUCCACGUCUCGCCUAUUGCUCCCUGGUGUCUCUCUCCUCCCUCUGCACCCCUGGGCUGUAUUCUCCAGAGCUAUGACCAUCCCCUUUCACAGAGGGCUGUCAGCUCCGAUACACUGCAGUAUUCCAGCCAACACAGGAAACCCCUCUCUCUCUCACACACACACACACACACACAAAACCCUCACAGUCGCCGCUUUGUCGAUUAUAUUGCUCUUGCAUCCACUUAGCAUUUAAAUGUCUGUUGCGUCUGCCUCUUUCAGUGUGUGAGGCUGUUUAAACAGUGCUUUGAUCAGCACGACCAGCUCAGACGUUGGAACUAAACCCGAGCCUUAUAUAUACACACGCGCGCGGAUUUAUCGCUUUCUUCAGACCAACGGGCAAAGAGGACCCUCCCAGGUCAGUUUCCCCUAUCGUUGGGAAGGCGUGAGAUCGGAGUUCUAUCAGAGAUUUCCUCCCCAGAAUUAGAAUAACCACCGGCCCAGCACAAAACUAGCCGCCUACUUUACCCACACGGCGGCCACUCUAACUGAGUAAACCGUCCGCUCAUCUCUUGUGGGAACACGAAUCCCACGAACAAAAAGGUAGCACAGGGCCGGCGGAUGCGAAAUGCGAUUGGGAAGUGUCGUCUUCUGAAGGCUCCGACACCCACCCCCUCGGCGCUGCCUCAUUAAGCUUGGUCCAAAACAAUUCAAUUGCUUCCUCAGCCGAAGGAAUCGCCCCAUGUCCUCAUCCAGUUUCUGUUGCUUGCAGCCACUAAAUUGGCCCAAUGGAAAGUGACAGACGGCUUGCUCGAAGCAAUUUAAAAUUAAGCUGCAAACCGAGUACUGGGUCCAACACUGAGAGAGAGAGAGAGGCAGCUGACCGCCUCUACAUGUGGACCCCACAUUUCAAAAUUAAACGAUUUAUUUGGAAAUAGGCAGAAACAGAGCUUCGCGUGUCCCUUUCUCUCUCAUUCUCACAUCAAGUAAUAUUCGUGCAAUGUUCAAACAGGAAAUCGUGAUAUUUUAAACGGGGGAACUGGCAAAAAGUUUCAACCUUGUUAUCGUAACGCUGGCUGACAGAACAUCACUUUAAAAGAAUGCCCAAUCGAUUGUGCCACGCAGAUAACACAGCAGAGGAUCAGAGAGAGAAUGCGGAUUUGGAAACCCAAGGCCAUUUUGGAGCUGUGAUCGGUUGUGAGUGGAGCAUAUCUCUGUGAAGCAUGCCAGCAAUGAUCUGAGGGAGCUGUGAUCGCUGUGGAAGUUACCAUGCACAGCUUUCAGGGUGAUGUCAAGUUUGACACUACAGAUAAGGAGGAGUCAGCACUGCCUUUCUACUGCCAGCAGAGGGCCGCGACUGGGUCCUAGAGACCACACAUACAUUAAUCGCAAACCAUCUGAAAUGAAGCUACUUUAUAUAUUAAGCAACAUCAGUUGGAAUGGAUGGAUGAGGGGGAAUAUUGCAUCUGCCACUGAUAUUCAACAAAAUGGUGGAAAACUUAUAAGUAUGAAAAACUGUGAGCAGAAAACAACCUUUCUUGUCCGCUGGUUUAAUCUUUUAACAUUUUCAUAACUAUACAUUGGAAUAGGUUCUCUAAUAUACCCAUCGUUAAAGGAUAGUUUGAAAAUAAUUGUCCCAUUUCAGUCAAGAAACUCUACAUUUUAAAGAAAUCUUUUGAUGGAACGUUUCAACAGGAGGAAUUCAGGUCUCUAACUCUCUCUUUAUCGUAACCUGAUAUCUUCCUUUAUUCUCAAUCUUUCCACAGAACAAACCCAUUUGAUAAAAGUGAGGGACGUUGUUUGUUUUGUCUAAUGUUGGUUAAUAUUUCAUUACAUAUAAGUACUAUUGUAAUAUUUUUAAUGUAAAAGCUUUCCUUUCC